rnacentral:rRNA from 1 species
GACGAACGCUGGCGGCGUGCUUAACACAUGCAAGUCGAGCGGUAAGGCCCCUUCGGGGGUACACGAGCGGCGAACGGGUGAGUAACACGUGGGUGACCUGCCCUCAGCUCUGGGAUAAGCCUGGGAAACUGGGUCUAAUACCGGAUAUGACUCCAUGACGCAUGUCGUGGGGUGGAAAGCCUUGUGCGGCUGGGGAUGGGCCCGCGGCCUAUCAGCUUGUUGGUGGGGUGAUGGCCUACCAAGGCGACGACGGUAGCCGGCCUGAGAGGCGACCGGCCACACUGGGACUGAGACACGGCCCAGACCCUACGGGAGGGAGCAGUGGGGAAUCUUGCGCAAUGGGACGAAAGCCUGACGCAGCGACGCCGCGUGAGGAUGACGGCCU